UAUAUAACACAUACAUAACCGUAUGAAGACAUAUAAGGAAGGGUUUGCACCUUGGACCUUAGCGUGGCAGGCCACACACUCGGUAGCCCGAGUGGGUUGGUCGAACCGAACCUUUAGUAUUUUGACAUUCUAAACUUGGAGGAGGUCCUAAAAAACUAAACUUGAAAAACAUGGUUUUAUUAAAGAAAAAUAGUUUCAAAAUCACAAAGCCACGCUUUCAAAACAAAGUAGUAUCAUGAACCAUCCCAAAGCAGCAAUCAUAACAAGAGAUUAGAUGCACUCCAACACUACACUAUAG
rnacentral:lncRNA from 1 species